rnacentral:rRNA from 1 species
UGUUUCGGCUAGGGGGUCAUCCCGACUUACCAACCCGAUGCAAACUACGAAUACCGAAGAAUGUUAUCACGGGAGACACACGGCGGGUGCUAACGUCCGUCGUGAAGAGGGAAACAACCCAGACCGCCAGCUAAGGUCCCAAAGUCAUGGUUAAGUGGGAAACGAUGUGGGAAGGCACAGACAGCCAGGAUGUUGGCUUAGAAGCAGCCAUCAUUUAAAGAAAGCGUAAUAGCUCACUGGUCGAGUCGGCCUGCGCGGAAGAUGUAACGGGGCUAAACCAUGCACCGAAGCUGCGGCAGCGACACUAUGUGUUGUUGGGUAGGGGAGCGUUCUGUAAGCCUGCGAAGGUGUGCUGUGAGGCAUGCUGGAGGUAUCAGAAGUGCGAAUGCUGACAUAAGUAACGAUAAAGCGGGUGAAAAGCCCGCUCGCCGGAAGACCAAGGGUUCCUGUCCAACGUUAAUCGGGGCAGGGUGAGUCGACCCCUAAGACGAGGCCGAAAGGCGUAGUCGAUGGGAAACAGGUUAAUAUUCCUGUACUUGGUGUUACUGCGAAGGGGGGACGGAGAAGGCUAUGUUAGCCGGGCGACGGUUGUCCCGGUUUAAGCAUGUAGGCUGGUUGUCCAGGCAAAUCCGGAUAAUCAAGGCUGAGGUGUGAUGACGAGGCACUACGGUGCUGAAGUAACAAAUGCCCUGCUUCCAGGAAAAGCCUCUAAGCAUCAGGUAACAU